UACAGAGAGUGCGAGCGUUACUCGGAAUUACUGGGCGUAAAGCGCACGUAGGUCGAGCUUUAAGUCAGAUGUGAAAGCCCCGAGCUUAACUUGGGAAUUGCAUUUGAUACUGGGGCUCUAGAAUAUGGUAGAGGGAGGUGGAAUUUCCGGUGUAGCGGUGAAAUGCGUAGAUAUCGGAAGGAACAUCAGUGGCGAAAGCGGCCUCCUGGACCAAUAUUGACACUGAGGUGCGAAAGCGUGGGGAGCAAACAGG
rnacentral:rRNA from 1 species